UCGAAACCUGCCCAGCAGAGCGACCCGCGAACACGUUCAACCUCGUGGGUGUUGGGGCGUAGCUCGGUGCCUCGUGUGCCGGCUCGUCCCUCUCCCAGGCCGGGGAACGCUCACUCGUGGGCUGUUCCCUCGGCUAAACAACGAACCCCGGCGCGUAAUGCGUCAAGGACUAUGAACUCUAUGUGUGUGCUCUCCAGCUGCCCGGUUAGCCGGGCGUUGGGGUGGUGCCAUGUCUUAACAAUA
rnacentral:rRNA from 1 species